UCCUCAGCCUGCAGAUGGCCUAUUGACGGACCUUGUGAUUGUGGCUCUCUGGUUUUGCAUCUUCCUCAUUUUUCUCUUGCCGCUGCCAUGUAAGAAAUGCCUUUCACCUUCCACCAUGAUUCUGAUGCCUCCCCAGCCAUGUGGAAUUUAAAUGUCCAAGGAGAAGUUGAAUGUCUGCAACACAGAAGAAGGCCCUUACCAGAAUCCAGCCACACUGGCACCUUGAUCUGAGACUUUAAAACUCCAGAACUGUUUUUGAUAAACCACCCAAUCUAAAUUUUCUCAUGUAAUAAUGCAUAGAGAUGAUAGAAUUGGGCAUUACCAUCUUGUUUGAAAUUUUAAGAAGAAAGCUUUAACACUUUCAACCUUGGGUAUGAUGUUUGCUUCUGGUUUUUCAUAGAGUCAACUUAUUUAUAAUGAGGAGGUUUUCUUAUAUUCCUAGUUUAUUUUUUUAAAUAAUGAAUUUUGUCGAAUUUUGCCAAGUAUUUUCUCUGCAUCAGUUGAGAUGAUCAUGAUUGGUUUUGUUUUGUGUUCCUUUUAUUCUGUUAAUGUGGUGUGUAACAUCGAUUGAUUUUUAUAUGUUAAGCUAUUCUCACAUUCCUGAGAAAAAUCCCAUUUGAUCAUCCCUUUAAUAUGUUGUAAUUGAAUAUUUUAUAAUCCCUUUAAUAUGUUGUUGGAUUCUGUUUUCUAGUAUAUUGAAGAUGAUUUUUGCAUCUAUAGUCAUAAGGGAUAUUGUCUUGUAAUUUCCAUUUCUUUUCUUCUGAUGCCUUUGUCUGGCUUUGGUAGCAGAGUGAGUCAUGCCUUACAAAAUAAAUUAGUAUUCCUCAUUUAUUUUUUGGAAAAGUUUGAGGAUUGCUUUUAAUUAUUUUUAAAAUGUUUAGCUGCAUUCACCAGUGAAGCCAUCUGGUCAUGAGCUUUUAUUACUUUAGAGCUCUUUGAUUACUGAUUCGAUAUAUUUACUUUUUGUAAUUCUGUUCAGAUUUUCUCUGUUGAGUAAGCUAAAGUAAUUUGUGUUCCUAGAAUUUUGUUUCCAUUUUAUUUAGGCCAACUAAUUUAUUGGAGUAACAUUUUACAUUGUAUUCACCUAAAAUCCCUUUUAUUUCUUUAAAUAUUUUUAAAUUGUAAGAUGGUACCAAUGGAAUGCCAGUCAGAAAUUCAUGCACCCAAACCUGAAGAGGCACAGACAUAUUCAAAUAAAGUAAGCCUAACACCAA
ensembl:lncRNA novel transcript